AUGGGAACGGAGGUGCUCCGCCCGCACGACUGCCUGUCCCGCGUCCGCCACCACGCCCACGCCCACGCUGGCUCCAGGCGGUCGCCGCGCCCGGCCGCGAGGACGCGCCGCCGCACAGCUCGGCGCGGCCAGGCGGCGUCGCCCCUGCCGCAAGAGAUGCGGGUACAGGUGCCGGCGGCCACCGUGGACGCCGCGUACGCCGGGCCAGCGUUCGGUGUCAUGUCGCCGUCGCCGCGGGCGCUGCCGCUGCCGCGCUUCAGCAACACCAAGACGGCAGCCCCGGCCACCGUGGACGACUCGGCCACGCGGGAGCUCCGGCGGCUGCUGGGCCUGGAGCGGCCGGCGAAUUAA
rnacentral:rRNA from 1 species